rnacentral:lncRNA from 1 species
UAUAUAUAUAUUAGAUGUUCGGCCACGUGCGUCCACUUUCUGGUGGCAGUCGUUGCUUCUUUAGGUCUAGUUUGCGUCCGUCUUGAUAUCUACCCACUCAACCUUCUAAGCCUCGCUUAGUUGUCAUCUACACUACAAGAUUAAUUGCAAUAGCUGUAGCCGAUGGGACUAGAACUGCUUGGUUGCAUAUGUUAUUGACUUGUGUUGCUCAUUUCACAACGUUUGAUCAAG